CCCUAGUAACGGCGAGUGAAGCGGCAACAGCUCAAAUUUGAAAUCUGGCUUCGGCCCGAGUUGUAAUUUGCAGAGGAUGUUUCUGGCGCGGUGCCUUCCGAGUUCCCUGGAACGGGACGCCACAGAGGGUGAGAGCCCCGUAUGGUUGGACACCAAGCCUGUGUGAAACUCCUUCGACGAGUCGAGUAGUUUGGGAAUGCUGCUCAAAAUGGGAGGUAAAUCUCUUCUAAAGCUAAAUACCGGCCAGAGACCGAUAGCGCACAAGUAGAGUGAUCGAAAGAUGAAAAGCACCUUGAAAAGGGGGUUAAACAGUACGUGAAAUUGUUGAAAGGGAAGCGCUUGUGACCAGACUUGCGCCGGGCGGUUCAUCCGGGGUUCUCCCCGGUGCACUCCGCCCGGCUCAGGCCAGCAUCGGUUUUCGUUGGGGGAUAAGAACGGCAGGAACGUGGCCCUCCUUCGGGUGGGUGUUAUAGCCUGCCGUACGAUACCCUGACGGGGACCGAGGUUCGCGCUCCGCAAGGAUGCUGG
rnacentral:rRNA from 1 species